rnacentral:rRNA from 1 species
GACGAACGCUGGCGGCGCGCUUAACACAUGCAAGUCGAGCGAGAACCAGGACUUCGGCCCUGGGGACAGCGGCGAACGGGUGAGUAACACGUGGGUAAUCUGCCCUCGGUUCCGGGAUAGCCCGGGGAAACUCGGAUUAAUACCGGAUAGCCUCACGAGCCUUCGGGGGAGUGAGAAAAGGUAGCUUUGGCCUCUGACCGAGGAUGAGCCCGCGGUGGAUUAGCUUGUUGGCGGGGUAACGGCCCACCAAGGCGACGAUCCAUAGCUGGUCUGAGAGGACGAUCAGCCACACUGGGACUGAGACACGGCCCAGACUCCUACGGGAGGCAGCAGUGGGGAAUCUUGCGCAAUGGGCGAAAGCCUGACGCAGCGACGCCGCGUGGGGAAGAAGGCCUUAGGGUUGUAAACCUCUUUCA